UACGAAGGGGGCGAGCGUUGUUCGGAUUUACUGGGCGUAAAGGGCGCGCAGGCGGCUCAUUUUGUCAGGCGUGAAAGCCCCGGGCUUAACCUGGGAACUGCGUUUGAUACGGAUGGGCUAGAGUUCGGGAGAGGAGAGUGGAAUUCCCAGUGUAGAGGUGAAAUUCGUAGAUAUGGGAAGAACACCGGUGGCGAAGGCGGCUCUCUGGACCGAGACUGACGCUGAGGCGCGAAAGGCCAGGGGGAGCAAACGGG
rnacentral:rRNA from 1 species